GAUGAACGCUGGCGGCGUGCCUAAUACAUGCAAGUCGAGCGAACGGACGAGAAGCUUGCUUCUCUGAUGUUAGCGGCGGACGGGUGAGUAACACGUGGAUAACCUACCUAUAAGACUGGGAUAACUUCGGGAAACCGGAGCUAAUACCGGAUAAUAUUUUGAACCGCAUGGUUCAAAAGUGAAAGACGGUCUUGCUGUCACUUGUAGAUGGAUCCGCGCUGCAUUAGCUAGUUGGUAAGGUAACGGCUUACCAAGGCAACGAUGCAUAUCCGACCUGAGAGGGGGAGCGGCCACACUGGAACGGAGACACGGUCCAGACGCCUACGGGAGGCAGAAGUAGGGAAUCUUCCGCAAUGGGCGAAAGCCUGACGGAGCAACGCCGCGUGAGUGAUGAAGGUCUUCGGAUCGUAAAACUCUGUUAUUAGGGAAGAACAUAUGUGUAAGUAACUGUGCACAUCUUGACGGUACCUAAUCAGAAAGCCACGGCUAACUACGUG
rnacentral:rRNA from 1 species